CGGGGCCUCGUGUUCCUGGGUGCUGACCGUGCACUCCCCGCCGCCCGAGGACUUAGAGCUCUGGAAGUAGCUCUCCAGCUUCCUUCGUACUCGGGGGCCGGACUUGUACACCCGCACGAGGAGCGGGGACGGCGGGCGCAGAAGUGGGCCACCAUAUCUGGAAACUACAGUCUAUGCUUUGAAGCGCAAAAGGGAAUAAACAUUUAAAGACUCCCCCGGGGACCUGGAGGAUGGACUUUUCCAUGGUGGCCGGAGCAGCAGCUUACAAUGAAAAAUCAGGUAGGAUUACCUCGCUCUCACUUUUGUUUCAGAAAGUCUUUGCUCAGAUCUUUCCUCAGUGGAGAAAGGGGAAUACAGAAGGAGAAUGUCUCCCCUACAAGUGCUCAGAGACUGGUGCUCUUGGAGAAAACUAUAGUUGGCAAAUUCCCAUUAACCACAAUGACUUCAAAAUUUUUAAAAAUAAUGAGCGUCAGCUGUGUGAAGUCCUCCAGAAUAAGUUUGGCUGUAUCUCUACCCUGGUCUCUCCAGUUCAGGAAGGCAACAGCAAAUCUCUGCAAGUGUUCAGAAAAAUGCUGACUCCUAGGAUAGAGUUAUCAGUCUGGAAAGAUGACCUCACCACACAUGCUGUUGAUGCUGUGGUGAAUGCAGCCAAUGAAGAUCUUCUGCAUGGGGGAGGCCUGGCCCUGGCCCUGGUAAAAGCUGGUGGAUUUGAAAUCCAAGAAGAGAGCAAACAGUUUGUUGCCAGAUAUGGUAAAGUAUCAGCUGGUGAGAUAGCUGUCACGGGAGCAGGGAGGCUUCCCUGCAAACAGAUCAUCCAUGCUGUUGGGCCUCGGUGGAUGGAAUGGGAUAAACAGGGAUGUACUGGAAAGCUGCAGAGGGCCAUUGUAAGUAUUCUGAAUUAUGUCAUCUAUAAAAAUACUCACAUUGAGACAGUAGCAAUUCCAGCCUUGAGCUCUGGGAUUUUUCAGUUCCCUCUGAAUUUGUGUACAAAGACUAUUGUAGAGACUAUCCGGGUUAGUUUGCAAGGGAAGCCAAUGAUGAGUAAUUUGAAAGAAAUUCACCUGGUGAGCAAUGAGGACCCUACUGUUGCUGCCUUUAAAGCUGCUUCAGAAUUCAUCCUAGGGAAGAGUGAGCUGGGACAAGAAACCACCCCUUCUUUCAAUGCAAUGGUCAUGAACAACCUGACCCUCCAGAUUGUCCAGGGCCACAUUGAAUGGCAGACGGCAGAUGUAAUUGUUAAUUCUGUAAACCCACAUGAUAUUACAGUUGGACCUGUGGCAAAGUCAAUUCUACAACAAGCAGGAGUUGAAAUGAAAUCGGAAUUUCUUGCCACAAAGGCUAAACAGUUUCAACGGUCCCAGUUGGUACUGGUCACAAAAGGAUUUAACUUGUUCUGUAAAUAUAUAUACCAUGUACUGUGGCAUUCAGAAUUUCCUAAACCUCAGAUAUUAAAACAUGCAAUGAAGGAGUGUUUGGAAAAAUGCAUUGAGCAAAAUAUAACUUCCAUUUCCUUUCCUGCCCUUGGGACUGGAAACAUGGAAAUAAAGAAGGAAACAGCAGCAGAGAUUUUGUUUGAAGAAGUUUUAACAUUUGCCAAAGACCAUGUAAAACACCAGUUAACUGUAAAAUUUGUGAUCUUUCCAACAGAUUUGGAGACAUAUAAGGCUUUCAGUUCUGAAAUGGCAAAGAGGUCCAAGAUGCUGAGUUUGAACAAUUACAGUGUCCCCCAGUCAACCAGAGAGGAGAAAAGAGAAAAUGGGCUUGAAGCUAGAUCUCCUGCCAUCAAUCUGAUGGGAUUCAACGUGGAAGAGAUGUAUGAGGCCCACGCAUGGAUCCAAAGAAUCCUGAGUCUCCAGAACCACCACAUCAUUGAGAAUAAUCAUAUUCUGUACCUUGGGAGAAAGGAACAUGACAUUUUGUCUCAGCUUCAGAAAACUUCAAGUGUCUCCAUCACAGAAAUUAUCAGCCCAGGAAGGACAAAGUUAGAGAUUGAAGGAGCCCAGGCUGACCUCAUUGAGGUGGUUAUGAACAUUGAAGAUAUGCUUUGUAAAGUACAGGAGGAAAUGGCAAGGAAAAAGGAGCGAGGCCUUUGGCGCUUGUUAGGACAGUGGACUAUUCAGCAACAAAAAACCCAAGAUGAAAUGAAAGAAAAUAUCAUAUUUCUGAAAUGUCCUGUGCCUCCAACUCAAGAGCUUCUAGAUCAAAAGAAACAGUUUGAAAAAUGUGGUUUGCAGGUUCUAAAGGUAUACCUAACAAAGGGGAGGAUUUGGCUCAUUUUGUUGUUAAUUAACUUGUUUCUGUAGCCAAAGGAAAAGCUCACCUGCUGAUGAUUCUAAGCUGGCUGCUCAUGGACUUGGAAUCCUAGGUGGAGAAGAUAGACAAUGAGGUCCUUAUGGCUGCCUUUCAAAGAAAGAAGAAAAUGAUGGAAGAAAAACUGCACAGGCAACCUGUGAGCCAUAGGCUGUUUCAGCAAGUCCCAUACCAGUUCUGCAAUGUGGUAUGCAGAGUUGGCUUUCAAAGAAUGUACUCAGCACCUUGCGAUCCAAAAUACGGAGCUGGCAUAUACUUCACCAAGAACCUCAAAAACCUGGCAGAGAAGGCCAAGAAAAUCUCUGCUGCAGAUAAGCUGAUCUAUGUGUUUGAGGCUGAAGUACUCACAGGCUUCUUCUGCCAGGGACAUCCAUUAAAUAUUGUUCCCCCACCACUGAGUCCUGGAGCUAUAGAUGGUCAUGACAGUGUGGUUGACAAUGUCUCCAGCCCUGAAACCUUUGUUAUUUUUAGUGGCACGCAGGCUGUACCUCAGUAUUUGUGGACAUGCACCCAGGAAUAUGUACAGUCACAAGAUUACUCAUCAGGACCAAUGAGACCCUUUGCACAGCAUCCUUGGAGGGGAUUCACAAGUGGCAGCCCCGUUGAUUAAUCUCUACAUCAUUUUAACAGCUGGUAUGGCCUUACCUUGGGUGAACUAACCAAAUAAUGACCAUCGAUGGCUCAAAGAGUGGCUUGAAUAUAUCCCUUGGGUUAUCUGUAUGGACUGACUGGGUUAUUGAAAGGACUAGCCACAUACUAGCAUCUUAGUGCCUUUAUCUGUCUUUAUGUCUUGGGGUUGGGGUAGGUAGAUACCAAAUGAAACACUUUCAGGACCUUCCUUCCUCUUGCAGUUGUUCUUUAAUCUCCUUUACUAGAGGAGAUAAAUAUUUUGCAUAUAAUGAAGAAAUUUUUCUAGUAUAUAACCCAGGCCUUUUAUUUUCUAAAAUGAUGAUAGUAUAAAAAUAUUAGGAUAACAGAAUGAUUUUAGAUUUUCCAGAGAAUAUUAUAAAGUGCUUUAGGUAUGAAAAUAAAUCAUCUUUGUCUGAUUAA